GAUGAACGCUGGCGGCGUGCUUAACACAUGCAAGUCGAACGAACUGAUAGGAGCUUGCUCCUUGAAGUUAGUGGCGAACGGGUGAGUAACACGUAGGUAACCUGCCCUUAAGACGAGGAUAACCAAGGGAAACUUUGGCUAAAACUGGAUAGGAACAUUGGAGGCAUCUCUGAUGUUUUAAAAGACCUAGCAAUAGGUAUGCUUAAGGAGGGGCCUGCGGCGCAUUAGUUAGUUGGUGAGGUGAAGGCUUACCAAGACGAUGAUGCGUAGCCGGACUGAGAGGUUGAACGGCCACAUUGGGACUGAGAAACGGCCCAAACUCCUACGGGUGGCAG
rnacentral:rRNA from 1 species